CCUAAUAGACGAGGUCUUGGACCUAGUAGACGAGGUCUUGGACCGAGUAGACGAGGUCUUGGAUUAGGUAGACGUUGCCGGGAGUACGGCAGAGUAUAGCGGCGAGCACAUCCAGUUAUUCAAAUCAGGCGAAAUUUUUACGACAAAUUUUCAAUUGUUUUGAAUGUAUUUUGUUCUAAGUUCUACAAUAGUCAUAUCAUGAACUUAGAUACGAUGGGAAUUAGUUUUUCAUUUAAUAAAUAAGUUAAUGUUGAGAGCUAAAUUUAAAUCUCCCAACUCAACAGUAUUUGGAAAACGUCAAAUCUAACGUAAAUGCUAUCCUGCCAUUUUUUUAUUUAUAUACCAUCACGAUCAUGCGUCGCGAAAUCAGUUUUGUUGGGAUCGAAUAUUACGAUAUAUUUUUUAGGAAAUGAAAAGUUGCAUUGGAAUUAAUUGGGAUGUUUUUUAUGUAAUCUUUGCUGCAACUUUUUUAUCCUCGAAGACACGAAGUACGACUGGUAGACUUGUUUGUACGGGGCUUGUAGAGAAGCAAAUUUGAAUGUUAUUUCUUGUGUCCAUUAAUAGGGAAAGAAAAUAAAGAUCUUAUGGGGUACGAACAUCUUAACCGGUAUGGCAAAUCUUUCUUCGGCUGGGGGUUGAAGUACGAGUUUAGCCGCCGGUAACUAAAAAUUUGUGGAAAUUAAAAAAAAAAACGAGAGUGAACUUUUAUUCAUAACCAUCGAAGAUGUGAAUUGUGUUCACUGUUCCUUUGAAUCUCGACUUCAUGGCAAGAUGAAAGUUCUCUCCUUAGAUUUCCUGGAGCAAACAUGUAAAUUGAACGGGUUCACUGAGUGAUUCUAUUCGUUUUGCGCCCUGCUGAAAAUAUUCUGUACACAUGGCGAGUGUAAAUUCAGUUUAGAGGAAUUAUAGACGAAUUAUAGAGGAAUAGAGGAAUUAUAGACGAAGCUUCAGUGGCCUACAUUGAUUCGCCGCUGUAUAAUUGAGAUAACGAUUCAUUAUGCUGUUUUGUUCUUGAAUGCUAUAUUCACUAUUCGUCGUGAUUCGAGCCUCGUUGGGAAGAUAUUGACCGUUUUCUAGAGUCAAAUAAUUUGUACGUGCAAGAAGAAAAAAACCGUUUUUGUGAUAACUAUGUACACCCAAUUACGCACGUCGGCAUAUGAAGAUUUUUUUCUGAAUCCAUUUACAAUAAAUAUAACGUAUUUAACAUGGUAGCUUCAUAAUUCAUAAUGACUACUAUGUUUAUUUGUUCAAAAUCGCUCAUGUACACAACAUAUUUACUUCGUAAACAACGUAUAGAAUGUGCCAGGGUGUUUUGUGUGACUUUGAGACGGAUGUAUCAAAAUACCAUUCACAUUGACAGAGCAUUUUCUGUCUGCCGUUUGGGACUCACAUAAAUUCUAAUCAUAUUCUUCAUGUUUUGCUUUCUGUGUUUUCUUGGAUCUGGAAAUGAUUCAUGAUAAUUUUCCGUAAUUUGAGAAAUUCGUGCUUACUGAACCGAUGUAUCUGUGUACCUAAUUUUACAAAGGAUAAAUGAACGCUUCCAACAAUUGUGUGAA